UACGUAGGGUGCGAGCGUUGUCCGGAAUGAUUGGGCGUAAAGCGUCCGUAGGUGGCAAUGUAAGUCUGCUGUUAAAGAGUCUAGCUCAACUAGAUAAAAGCAGUGGAAACUACAUAGCUAGAGUACGUUCGGGGCAGAGGGAAUUCCUGGUGUAGCGGUGAAAUGCGUAGAGAUCAGGAAGAACACCGGUGGCGAAGGCGCUCUGCUAGGCCGUAACUGACACUGAGGGACGAAAGCUAGGGGAGCGAAUGGG
rnacentral:rRNA from 1 species